rnacentral:miRNA from 1 species
UCCACAGCUUUCUUGAACUU